UGGAACAGGACCUUAAUUAGUCUCAUGGGCAACACCUGUGUUCACUCUAAUUUUAUUGGUUUUCAGGUGCCACGGUAAGCACGCUGGUUAGCGUGGUGGAGGUAGGCGCACCUUUUACCGGACUGCUUCAACAGCACAUAAUUUGCUUCGUCAUAGCAGGAAACUCGUUUAUUAAUGUGCGUGCUAGUACUAAUAGACUGAGCCGUCGUUACUGUUCUAUUGUUCUUCCUGUUUUUACAGGUAAAAAUAUCAUUUAUCUGUGCAACCAGUCCACUGCACAAUGUCAAAGGUCGAGCUACAAUAGUCAAAAUCCUGCUUUACUGAAACAACAGAUCUAUUUUUGGUUAUUUUAAGUUGCGCUGAAUCGACUGUCCCCUCGGCUAUAAUGCUAAGGUAGACAGCAGCCUACAAAGCAGCCUGCCACUUCCCCCUUGCAUCAAUAUGAAAAGCCUUAAUAGAAAUGGUUCCAUGGUUCCAAGCUUCACAAUUGUUCCGGAGGACUGCUAUGCCACAAUGUCUUCAAACCCUGACGACCCCAAGUGAUCCUUCCUCAUUUAUAACAGGUGUCCUGCUGACCAACGACGCGUGACAGUGGUUGAGAACGGUGUAUCACGCUGUGCUCGUUUCUCUGUCCUGCUCUUCCCUCUCCAUGGUGACAACUCAUGCAUCUUCCUUUAUUUCAAAAUAAGGCUAUGUGACAAGAGGAACACAAACUGCAUUCCACUCAUAGUUUUGCAGAAAGAGGAUAUAUCGCUCUGUUUCCAACACACCUGAGCUCAACCCACUCACCAUUGGACCAAUCACUUGUCAUUUUUAGCUUGUUAUGUCUAAACCUAAUAUAUGUAUACUCUUUGCCUUUGUCUACAUGUGUAACAAAAUGUUAAAAAACAUAA